ACAGCAGUUCUCGUACGAUCACCGAAGUUAAGCAACGUCGAGCCUGGUCAGUACUUAGAUGGGUAACUGCUUGGUAAUACCAGGUGCUAUAA